rnacentral:rRNA from 1 species
AGGACGAACGCUGGCGGCGUGCCUAACACAUGCAAGUCGAGCGGAGCCAUCCGAAGAUCCCUCGGGGUGAUUUGGUGAAGCUUAGCGGCGGACGGGUGAGUAACGCGUGAGUAACCUGCCCAUUAGUGGGGAAUAACACAGAGAAAUUUGUGCUAAUACCGCAUACCGACAUAGGAUGGCAUCUUCUUAUGUUGAAAGAUUUAUCGCUAAUGGAUGGACUCGCGUCCGAUUAGAUAGUAGGCGGGGUAACGGCCCACCUAGUCGACGAUCGGUAGCCGAACUGAGAGGUUGAUCGGCCACAUUGGGACUGAGACACGGCCCAGACUCCUACGGGAGGCAGCAGUGGGGGAUAUUGCGCAAUGGGGGAAACCCUGAACCGCAGCAACGCCGCGUGCAGGAAGACGGCCUUCGGGUUGUAAACUGUUGUCGCAAGGGAAGAAGAAAGUGACGGUACCUUGUGAGAAAGCCACGGCUAACUACGUGCCAGCCGCAGC